GACGAACGCUGGCGGCGCGCCUAACACAUGCAAGUCGAACGGAGUUGUGUUGAAAGCUUGCUGGAUAUACAACUUAGUGGCGGACGGGUGAGUAACACGUGAGUAACCUGCCUCUCAGAGUGGAAUAACGUUUGGAAACGAACGCUAAUACCGCAUAACGUGAGAAGAGGGCAUCCUCUUUUUACCAAAGAUUUAUCGCUGAGAGAUGGGCUCGCGGCCGAUUAGGUAGUUGGUGAGAUAACGGCUUACCAAGCCAACGAUCUGUAGCUGGUCUGAGAGGACGAUCAGCCACACUGGGACUGAGACACGGCCCAG
rnacentral:rRNA from 1 species